rnacentral:tmRNA from 1 species
GCGGCCAGUGACGAUUGAAUUACGCGCCCGCUUCCCCCACAAUAGCGCCCAUGGUUGUAAUCCCGGCGAGUUGGAGACGUUCUGGACAGGGGUUCGAUUCCCCUCACCUCCACCGAAGCGCAUCCGGAUAGCGUGCAUUUCGGUGGGGGUGUCCCGGUUUCGACAGGGCGAGCAAAGACAAGCAGGCAACCCGAGAGGCGACGGACGUAAUCCGCGCAAAUCCAUAAACGCCAAUGAUGAGCGUUUCGCAGUCGCUGCUUAAGCUGAUUGCCGGGGCCGCUGAAGCCUUGUAACCCAAGACAGCCGGUGGGGGCUUCGGCCCCCACCGUCA